CCUACGGGAGGCAGCAGUGGGGGAUAUUGCACAAUGGGGGAAACCCUGAUGCAGCGACGCCGCGUGGGUGAAGAAGGAUUUCGGUAUGUAAAGCCCUAUCAGCAGGGAAGAAAGAAGACGGUACCUGACUAAGAAGCCCCGGCUAACUACGUGCCAGCAGCCGCGGUAAUACGUAGGGGGCGAGCGUUAUCCGGAUUCACUGGGUGUAAAGGGAGCGUAGACGGCCGUGCAAGCCAGGAGUGAAAGCCCGGGGCCCAACCCCGGGACUGCUCUUGGAACUGUGCGGCUGGAGUGCGGGAGGGGCAGGCGGAAGUCCUGGUGUAGCGGUGAAAUGCGUAGAUAUCAGGAGGAACACCGGCGGCGAAGGCGGCCUGCUGGACCGCGACUGACGUUGAGGCUCGAAAGCGUGGGGAGCGAACAGGAUUAGAUACCCUUGUAGUC
rnacentral:rRNA from 1 species